UACGUAGGUGGCAAGCGUUGUCCGGAUUUACUGGGCGUAAAGAGCGCGCAGGCGGUCGUUUUAGUCGCGUGUGAAAGCCCCCGGCUCAACUGGGGAGUGUCACGCGAUACUGAUCGACUCGAAGGCAGGAGAGGGUAGUGGAAUUCCAGGUGUAGCGGUGAAAUGCGUAGAUAUCUGGAGGAAUACCGGUGGCGAAGGCGGCAUCCUGGACCGACAUUGACGCUGAGGAGCGAAAGCUAGGGGAGCAAACGGG
rnacentral:rRNA from 1 species